AUUGAACGCUGGCGGCAGGCCUAACACAUGCAAGUCGAACGAGUGGCGGACGGGUGAGUAAUGUCUGGAAAACUGCCUGAUGGAGGGGGAUAACUACUGGAAACGGUAGCUAAUACCGCAUACCAUCGGAUGUGCCCAUAUGGGAUUAGCUAGUAGGUGGGGUAAAGGCUCACCUAGGCGACGAUCCGUAACUGGUCUGAGAGGAUGAUCAGUCACACUGGAACUGAGACACGGUCCAGACUCCUACGGGAGGCAGCAGUGGGGAAUAUUGGACAAUGGGCGAAAGCCUGAUCCAGCCAUGCCGCGUGUGUGAAGAAGGUCUUCGGAUUGUAAAGCACUUUAAGUUGGGAGGCGUUACCCGCAGAAGAAGCACCGGCUAACUCCGUGCCAGCAGCCGCGGUAAUUC
rnacentral:rRNA from 1 species